UGCACCUAGACGGACACCAUCAAUAAUUGAGAUCGAAAAAGAAUUAUGGGUCCAACCACCAUGACAAUAUUCGCCUCCAUCCCACCCCCGCCAACCACCAUGACAAUCUUCUCCCUUCUGCGACAAUCCGUGACAUUCCAGCGAAGUUGCAACUCCAUCUGAACUCUGCUUCAAGAAUGGGCAUUGAAGUGAUGGAGCAAGAGAAUGAAACAAAAGACGUGAGUUUCAUUGACCAAACUGCCCAGAGAAGAUUGGCAGAAACUUACCUGGUGUUCACUAUAUUCAGGAUGUUGCCUAUGCUGAUUCACUGAUUUCGUCACUGGUUAAUAAUAUGGUGAAGCAGCUAAUGCUUCUGUUGUAAGACUCUGGAGCCACAGGCAUGUUAACUUGUAUUUAACAAUAACCUAAUGGAGAAAGCACAGAAGGUGGUUGUUGUUGGGGAUGGUUACAUUCGCAUGGAGAUUGCUGCUGCUGCUGUUGGUUGGAAACUUGAUACAACAUUAUGUCUGUGUUUCAUUAUCGUUCUGCUAUAUUAAUAUUUGAGAUGGUAAUUUUUUAUUCACCCAAAAAAAGAGAUGGUAACUUUUCAUUGAUCCAAUAUCUGUAACACUGACUGACAAAUUUUUGGCAAUUCAUACCCUUUUAAAUUUAUAAGUAGUAAAAUUUUAUUGUUUCAAGUGGA